rnacentral:rRNA from 1 species
UACGUAGGGUGCAAGCGUUAAUCGGAAUUACUGGGCGUAAAGCGUGCGCAGGCGGUCGUGCAAGACAGAUGUGAAAUCCCCGGGCUCAACUUGGGAACUGCAUUUGUGACUGCACGGCUGGAGUGCGGCAGAGGGGGAUGGAAUUCCGCGUGUAGCAGUGAAAUGCGUAGAGAUGCGGAGGAACACCGAUGGCGAAGGCAAUCCCCUGGGACUGCACUGACGCUCAUGCACGAAAGAGUGGGGAGCAAACAGG